GCUGUCGUCGCAUAACCUGGUAUUGCACAGGCCUGGAAAGCCUGACCCGCAAGGGUAUCCCGGUUCAAAUCCGGGCGACAGCG
rnacentral:tRNA from 1 species